CGAGUUCCCGUACGAUCACCGAAGUUAAGCAACGUCGAGUCUCGUCAGUACCUAGAUGGGUGACCCCCUUUGGGAAUACCAGGUUCUGUAAG